rnacentral:rRNA from 1 species
GACGAACGCUGGCGGCGUGCUUAACACAUGCAAGUCGAACGGAAAGGCCCUGCUUUUGUUGGGUGCUCGAGUGGCGAACGGGUGAGUAACACGUGAGUAACCUGCCCUUGACUUUGGGAUAACUUCAGGAAACUGGGUCUAAUACCGGAUAGGAGCUCCUGCUGCAUGGUGGGGGUUGGAAAGUUUCGGCGGUUGGGGAUGGACUCGCGGCUUAUCAGCUUGUUGGUGUGGUAGUGGCUUACCAAGGCUUUGACGGGUAGCCGGCAUGAGAGGGUGACCGGCCACAUUGGGACUGAGAUACGGCCCAGACUCCUACGGGAGGCAGCAGUGGGGAAUAUUGCACAAUGGGCGGAAGCCUGAUGCAGCAACGCCGCGUGCGGGAUGACGGCCUUCGGGUUGUAAACCGCUUUCGCCUGUGACGAAGCGUGAGUGACGGUAAUGGGUAAAGAAGCACCGGCUAACUACGUG